rnacentral:lncRNA from 1 species
UUUAAAAAUUUUAUAGUUUUUUUUUUUAAUUCUCUCUGUAUUCAUCUCUUCUCUUCCUAAGUUCAGUUAGCAUUCUUAUUACUGUUGCUUAAACUCUUUAUCAGGUAAAAUGUUUAACUCUCUUCCAUUAGGGGUUUUUUGUUUGUCUGUUUUUCUUGUUCCUGUUCUUUUGUUUGAAACAUAUUCCUCUGUUUUCUCAUUUUUUUAACUUUCUUUAUUUUUAUGAUGUUAGGUCAGUUAUCUUUUCCUGUAUUGAAAAGCACAUUCUUCUUUGGUAGUGUCCUUAUGCAGACUGUGUGUGCCCAGUGGCUUUGUUGGGAAAAUUGGAUCUGAAGUAUACACAAGUGGCAUCGUCCCCUGUGGUGCACUGGCAGCCACUACCUUGACAGGAGAUAGGGCUGGAGUUUGAGUGUAUAGAGCCAGAGCUAGGUGCACAUGGGGGCUUCUGCCUUUGCGCUAUGACUGGGAACUAGCAAGUUAGUGUGAACCCUCUCCAAGAGAAGAAUCUAGAUUUCUUAUAGCCCUCUGGUUAGCCUUACUGGUUUUCAAACCAGUUAAGAGGGCUCAUCUUUCUGGUAUUGCACUCAUAACUGAGGUGCCUAAUUUGUGACUCAAAAGCCUUGAUCCCUAGGGAGCAUCCCUGAACCUGUGACAAUUGCCUCUUCUUCUGGGUUCCCUACUAAAGGUUGAGGUCCUAGUGAGAUUACUUGUCCUCCAUUCCUACAAGAGUCCACGUGGAUCCUUCUUUACAGCCUUAGCUGUAGAAAGGUCAUCCUGCUUGUCUUCUGGUUGAUUUUAGCAAGAGUUAUUCUGUAUGUAGUUAUAGUUUGAUGUGUUUGUGAGGGCAUGUAAGCUCAGCAUCCUCCUACCCCACCAUCUUGAUCCUACCUUUUGAUAAUUCUAUUUUCUUAAUGUAGGCAUUUAUCACUAUAAAUUUCCCUCUUAGAAUGGCUUUUGCUACAUCCUAUAAGUUUUGGUAUGUUGAGUUUCCAUUUUUUGUUUGUUUCAUGUUUUUGAUUUCUCUUUUGAUUUCUUCUUUGACCCGUUUGUUGAGUGUAUUGUUAUAUUUGCACACAAUUGUGAAUUUUCUAGUUUUUCUCCAAUUAAUGAUUUCUAGUUUUCACACCAGUGUUGUUAGAAAAGAUACUUUAUGAUUUUAGUCUUUUUAAAUUUACUAAGGUUUGUUUUGUGAUCUAUCCUGGAGAAUAUUCCAUAUGUACUAGAGAAGAACAUAUGCUUUACUGCUGUUGAAUGGAAUGUUCUAUAUAUGUGUUUUAUGUCCAUUUCAUCUAAAAUAUUUUUCUAGUCCAAAAUUUCAUACUGAUUUUCUGCUUGGAUGAUCUAUCCAUUGUUGGAAUUGGGGUAUUGAAGUACUCUGCUAUUAUUACAUUGCUGUCUAUUUCUCUCUUCAGAUCUUUUAGUAUUUGCUUUAUAUAUUAGGUGUUCCUAUGUUUGGUGUAUAUAUAAUAUCCUCUUGAUGAAUUGACCCUUUUCACAUCAUAUAGUGACUUUCUUGGUCUUAUUAUAGUUUUUAGUUUGACAUCUCUUUUGUUCAACUUAAGUAUAGGUACUUUUGCUCCCUUUUGGUUUUUACUAGCAUGGCAUAUCUUUUUUUUUCCCUUCAGUUUGAGCCUAUGUGUAUUCUUAAAACCGAAGUGAGUCUCUUUUAGAUAGCAUAUAAUUGAAUUUUUUAAAAAAUCAGUCAAGCCUCUCUGUGCCGUUUGAUUAAAUAAUUUAAUCCAUUUACAUUUAGAGUGCUUUGUGACAUGUAAGGAUAUAUAAUGCCAUCUUAUUGUUUUCUGACUGUUUUGUAGUUCCCUUGUUUCUUUUGUUGUUGUUGUUGUUACUUUGUUUUGUGAGUUGAUGAUUUUCCAUGGUAUUAUGCUUUGAUUCUUUUCUAUAUCUACUGUGGAUUUUUAGCUCUUGGUUACCAUGAGGGUUACAUAAAGCAUCUUAUAGAUUUAACAGUCUAUUAUAUGCUGAUAUCAAUUUAAUGUUGAUUGCCUGCAAAUACCCUUC